rnacentral:rRNA from 1 species
AUGGCUCAGGAUGAACGCUAGCUACAGGCUUAACACAUGCAAGUCGAGGGGCAGCAUUGGAGUAGCAAUACUUCAGAUGGCGACCGGCGCACGGGUGAGUAACACGUAUCCAACCUGCCGCUUACUCGGGGAUAGCCUUUCGAAAGAAAGAUUAAUACCCGAUGGUAUAAAGAGUUCGCAUGUUCUCUUUAUUAAAGAAUUUCGGUAAGCGAUGGGGAUGCGUUCCAUUAGAUAGUUGGCGGGGUAACGGCCCACCAAGUCUACGAUGGAUAGGGGUUCUGAGAGGAAGGUCCCCCCACAUUGGAACUGAGACACGGUCCAAACUCCUACGGGAGGCAGCAGUGAGGAAUAUUGGUCAAUGGACGAGAGUCUGAACCAGCCAAAAGUAGCGUGAAGGAUGACUGCCCUAUGGGUUGUAAACUUCUUUUAUAAGGGAAUAAAGUGAGGGACGUGUCCCUUUUUCGUAUGUACCUUAUGGAAUAAGGAUCGGCUAACUCCGUGCCAGCCGCCGC